CCCUGCUUGACAUGGGUUCGAUGAGAUCUCUCCCUUACAUCUGAUUGCAUCAGUGACUUACACCUUUUAGCCCUGUUGAAUAUGUGUACUUAAUCAUAUUUGUAAUGCCAACCAUGGUAACUUAUUGAACAUUGAAAUAAACAA